rnacentral:rRNA from 1 species
GAUGAACGCUGGCGGUAUGCUUAACACAUGCAAGUUGAACGAAUGACUCUUUUUUCGGAAAAGAGAAGUUAGUGGCGAACGGGUGAGUAACGCGUAAGAAUCUACAUUUAGGUAAAGAAUAACAAUUGGAAACGAUUGCUAAUACUUUAUAAGCUGAAGAGUAAAAGGUUAAUCUGCCUAAAAAUGAGCUUGCGUCUGAUUAGCUAGUUGGUAAGGUAAAGGCUUACCAAGGCAUCGAUCAGUAGUUGGUCUGAGAGGAUGAUCAACCACACUGGGACUGAGAUACGGCCCAGACCUCUACGGAGGGCAGCAGUGAGGAAUUUUCCGCAAUGGGCGAAAGCCUGACGGAGCAAUACCGCGUGAAGGACGACGGCCUGUGGGUUGUAAACUUCUUUUCUCAAGGAAGAAUUUUGACGGUACUUGAGGAAUAAGCAUCGGCUAACUCCGUGCCAGCCGCCGCGGUAAU